rnacentral:tRNA from 1 species
GCGAGCGUAGUUUAGUGGCAAAAUGAAUGCUUCCCAAGCAUUAGUUGCGGGUUCGAUUCCCGCCGCUCGCA